CUAAUGGCCUACCAAGACGAUGACGCAUAACUGGUUUGAGAGGAUGAUCAGUCACACUGGAACUGAGACACGGUCCAGACUCCUACGGGAGGCAGCAGUGGGGAAUAUUGCACAAUGGACGAAAGUCUGAUGCAGCAACGCCGCGUGGAGGAUGACACAUUUCGGUGCGUAAACUCCUUUUAUAUAAGAAGAUAAUGACGGUAUUAUAUGAAUAAGCACCGGCUAACUCCGUGCCAGCAGCCGCGGUAAUACGGAGGGUGCAAGCGUUACUCGGAAUCACUGGGCGUAAAGAGCGUGUAGGCGGAUUGAUAAGUUUGAAGUGAAAUCCUAUAGCUUAACUAUAGAACUGCUUUGAAAACUGUUAAUCUAGAAUGUGGGAGAGGUAGAUGGAAUUUCUGGUGUAGGGGUAAAAUCCGUAGAGAUCAGAAGGAAUACCGAUUGCGAAGGCGAUCUACUGGAACAAUAUUGACGCUGAGACGCGAAAGCGUGGGGAGCAAACAGGAUUAGAUACCCUGGUAGUCCACGCCCUAAACGAUGUACACUAGUUGUUGUGAGGCUCGACCUUGCAGUAAUGCAGUUAACACAUUAAGUGUACCGCCUGGGGAGUACGGUCGCAAGAUUAAAACUCAAAGGAAUAGACGGGGACCCGCACAAGCGGUGGAGCAUGUGGUUUAAUUCGACGAUACACGAAGAACCUUACCUGGACUUGACAUAGUAAGAAUGAUUUAGAGAUAGAUUAGUGUCUGCUUGCAGAAACUUGCAUACAGGUGCUGCACGGCUGUCGUCAGCUCGUGUCGUGAGAUGUUGGGUUAAGUCCCGCAACGAGCGCAACCCUCGUCCUUAGUUGCUAACAGUUCGGCUGAGAACUCUAAGGAGACUGCCUACGCAAGUAGGAGGAAGGUGAGGAUGACGUCAAGUCAUCAUGGCCCUUACGUCCAGGGCUACACACGUGCUACAAUGGGGUAUACAAAGAGCAGCAAUACGGUGACGUGGAGCAAAUCUCAAAAAUGCCUCCCAGUUCGGAUUGUAGUCUGCAACUCGACUACAUGAAGUUGGAAUCGCUAGUAAUCGUAGAUCAGCUAUGCUACGGUGAAUACGUUCCCGGGUCUUGUACUCACCGCCCCCCGU
rnacentral:rRNA from 2 species